rnacentral:rRNA from 1 species
GAUGAACGCUAGCGGCAGGCCUAAUACAUGCAAGUCGAACGGUGUCUUCGGACAUAGUGGCGCACGGGUGCGUAACACGUAUGCAACCUACCUUACAUUGGGGGAUAGCCUUUCGAAAGGGAGAUUAAUACCGCAUAAGACAGUAGCUGGGCAUCCAGCAGCUGUUAAAGAUUUAUCGAUGUAAGCUGGGCAUGCGUCCAAUUAGCUAGUUGGUGAGGUAACGGUUCACCAAGGCAAUGAUCGGUAGGGGAACUGAGAGGUCAAUCCCCCACACUGGCACUGAGAUACGGGCCAGACUCCUACGGGAGGCAGCAGUAGGGAAUAUUGGGCAAUGGACGCAAGUCUGACCCAGCCAUGCCGCGUGCAGGAUGAAGGCGUUAUGCGUUGUAAACUGCUUUUAUACAGGAAGAAACGACUCUUGCGAGAGGCAUUGACGGUACUGUAUGAAUAAGCACCGACUAACUCCGUGCCAGCCGCCGCGGUAACAC